rnacentral:rRNA from 1 species
GAUGAACGCUGGCGGCGUGCCUAAUACAUGCAAGUCGAGCGAACGGACGAGAAGCUUGCUUUUCUGAUGUUAGCGGCGGACGGGUGAGUAACACGUGGAUAACCUACCUAUAAGACUGGGAUAACUUCGGGAAACCGGAGCUAAUACCGGAUAAUAUUUUGAACCGCAUGGUUCAAAAGUGAAAGACGGUCUUGCUGUCACUUAUAGAUGGAUCCGCGCUGCAUUAGCUAGUUGGUAAGGUAACGGCUUACCAAGGCAACGAUGCAUAGCCGACCUGAGAGGGUGAUCGGCCACACUGGAACUGAGACACGGUCCAGACUCCUACGGGAGGCAGCAGUAGGGAAUCUUCCGCAAUGGGCGAAAGCCUGACGGAGCAACGCCGCGUGAGUGAUGAAGGUCUUCGGAUCGUAAAACUCUGUUAUUAGGGAAGAACAUAUGUGUAAGUAACUGUGCACAUCUUGACGGUACCUAAUCAGAAAGCCACGGCUAACUACGUGCCAGCAGCCGCGGUAAUACGUAGGUGGCAAGCGUUAUCCGGAAUUAUUGGGCGUAAAGCGCGCGUAGGCGGUUUUUUAAGUCUGAUGUGAAAGCCCACGGCUCAACCGUGGAGGGUCAUUGGAAACUGGAAAACUUGAGUGCAGAAGAGGAAAGUGGAAUUCCAUGUGUAGCGGUGAAAUGCGCAGAGAUGUGGAGGAACACCAGUGGCGAAGGCGACUUUCUGGUCUGUAACUGACGCUGAUGUGCGAAAGCGUGGGGAUCAAACAGGAUUAGAUACCCUGGUAGUCCACGCCGUAAACGAUGAGUGCUAAGUGUUAGGGGGUUUCCGCCCCCUAGUGCUGCAGCUAACGCAUUAAGCACUCCGCCUGGGGAGUACGACCGCAAGGUUGAAACUCAAAGGAAUUGACGGGGGCCCGCACAAGCGGUGGAGCAUGUGGUUUAAUUCGAAGCAACGCGAAGAACCUUACCAAAUCUUGACAUCCUUUGACAACUCUAGAGAUAGAGCCUUCCCCUUCGGGGGACAAAGUGACAGGUGGUGCAUGGUUGUCGUCAGCUCGUGUCGUGAGAUGUUGGGUUAAGUCCCGCAACGAGCGCAACCCUUAAGCUUAGUUGCCAUCAUUAAGUUGGGCACUCUAAGUUGACUGCCGGUGACAAACCGGAGGAAGGUGGGGAUGACGUCAAAUCAUCAUGCCCCUUAUGAUUUGGGCUACACACGUGCUACAAUGGACAAUACAAAGGGCAGCGAAACCGCGAGGUCAAGCAAAUCCCAUAAAGUUGUUCUCAGUUCGGAUUGUAGUCUGCAACUCGACUACAUGAAGCUGGAAUCGCUAGUAAUCGUAGAUCAGCAUGCUACGGUGAAUACGUUCCCGGGUCU